GGAGUUAGCCGGUGCUUCUUCUGCGAGUAACGUCACAGAUGUAAGGUAUUAACUUACACCCUUUCCUCCUCGCUGAAAGUGCUUUACAACCCGAAGGCCUUCUUCACACACGCGGCAUGGGCCUGCAUCAGGGUUUCCCCCAUUGUGCAAUAUUCCCCACUGCUGCCUCCCGUAGGAGUCUGGGCCGUGUCUCAGUCCCAGUGUGGCUGAUCAUCCUCUCAGACCAGCUAGGGAUCGUCGCCUAGGUGAGCCUUUACCUCACCUACUAGCUAAUCCCACCUGGGCUUAUCCAUCAGCGCAAGGCCCGAAGGUCCCCUGCUUUCCCCCGUAGGGCGUAUGCGGUAUUAGCAGUCGUUUCCAACUGUUAUCCCCCACAAUGGGCAAAUUCCCAGGCAUUACUCACCCGUCCGCCGCUCGUCAUCUUCAAAAGCAAGCUUUUGAAAUGUUACCGCUUCGACUUGCAUGUGUUAGGCCUGCCGCCAGCGUUCAAUCUGAGCCAUGAUCAAACUCUGA
rnacentral:rRNA from 1 species